GGCGGCGUGCUUAACACAUGCAAGUCGAGCGGUAAGGCCCUUCGGGGUACACGAGCGGCGAACGGGUGAGUAACACGUGAGCAACCUGCCCCCGACUCCGGGAUAAGCGGUGGAAACGCCGUCUAAUACCGGAUACGACCGGCCACCUCAUGGUGGCGGGUGGAAAGUUUUUCGGUUGGGGAUGGGCUCGCGGCCUAUCAGCUAGUUGGUGGGGUAAAGGCCUACCAAGGCGAUUACGGGUAGCCGGCCUGAGAGGGCGACCGGCCACACUGGGACUGAGACACGGCCCAGACUCCUGCGGGAGGCAGCAGUGGGGAAUAUUGCGCAAUGGGCGAAAGCCUGACGCAGCGACGCCGCGUGGGGGAUGACGGCCUUCGGGUUGUAAACCUCUUUUACCACCAACGCAGGCUCCCAGUUCUCUGGGGGUUGACGGUAGGUGGGGAAUAAGGACCGGCUAACUACGUGCCAGCAGCCGCGGUAAUACGUAGGGUCCGAGCGUUGUCCGGAAUUAUUGGGCGUAAAGAGCUCGUAGGCGGCGUGUCGCGUCUGCUGUGAAAGACCGGGGCUUAACUCCGGUUCUGCAGUGGAUACGGGCAUGCU
rnacentral:rRNA from 1 species